AUUGAACGCUGGCGGCGUGCCUAAUACAUGCAAGUCGAGCGCAGGAAACUGACGGAACUCUUCGGAGGGAAGGCAGUGGAAUGAGCGGCGGACGGGUGAGUAACACGUAAGGAACCUGCCUCAAGGAUUGGGAUAACUCCGAGAAAUCGGAGCUAAUACCGGAUAGUUCAUCGGACCGCAUGGUCCGUUGAUGAAAGGCGCUCCGGCGUCACCUUGAGAUGGCCUUGCGGUGCAUUAGCUAGUUGGUGGGGUAACGGCCCACCAAGGCGACGAUGCAUAGCCGACCUGAGAGGGUGAUCGGCCACACUGGGACUGAGAAACGGCCCAGACUCCUACGGGAGGCAGCAGUAGGGAAUCUUCCACAAUGGACGAAAGUCUGAUGGAGCAACGCCGCGUGAGUGAUGAAGGUUUUCGGAUCGUGAAACUCUGUUGUAAGGGAAGAACACGUACGAGAGGGAAUGCUCGUACCUUGACGGUACCUUACGAGAAAGCCACGGCUAACUACGUGCCAGCCGCCGCCGUAA
rnacentral:rRNA from 1 species